rfam:Nicotiana sylvestris Nsyl_contig225138, whole genome shotgun sequence.
UGGACAGAUUAUUGUAUUCGACUGUAUUCACGACGUGAAAUAGGGGAUUACAUUGUUUUUAAAACGGAAAGUGAAUCAAUUAAUAUAAUAGACUCCU